rnacentral:misc_RNA from 1 species
AAUAGGGUUGAGUGUCCUAAGGUUAAAGGGCAAUUUUUUUUUUCUAUAACUAGGGAUUUUUUUGUUUAUUUCGCCCCCCAAAAAAAAAAUUAUUGAAAUUCCUUUGACAAUAUUAUUUUGUAUAAUACAAUAUUGUAUUAUUUUCGGUUUAAUGACCCGGCAUAAAUAGGGGUAAUUAAAUAUCGAAUUAUGAAAUAUUUGCAAGACAUAAUUUUAGUUUUUUUUUUUGGUUGGUUACAAACCAGCACAUCGCAAAUUUAAGUUGGCAGCAGUGAACACCGUCAACGUCAAGUGUCAACACUGUCAACUGCUUUGUUUACUAAAAACAGGAAGCGGUGCACUGCAAAUUUGCAAGAUAUUUUUGUCUUUAAAAAAAGGGCUGCAAAUAAAAAAAACAACUAAAUUUUAAAUUGAAGAGUUUUAGUUUCUGUACACUACAGAUACAUCUUUGACAUAUUGAUGCUAGUGUAAUUAUAAUAUGUGACAUAUAAUACCAAUCUCAAUGGGAAUUCAAUCAAGAAGUUACCUUAUUUCAAAACAAAACCUUAACAUAAUAAAUUGUCCCGAAUGAGAUUCCUGCUAGAGAUCUUAGAUGAACUAAGGAUAUUUGAAAACUUCUUUUUAAAAAUUAAGAAUUUAUUAUUUACAAGAGGUUUUUUUAUUGAAUAAUUUUAGAUGCCAGAUCGUGCAUUUCAAAAAAUUUAUAAAAAAACACACAUUGAAAAAAUCUGGUGUGGCACCGAUUUAGGGACAAUACAGAAUACUACAUACUUAUGUAAAAUAAUUAAUCACUAUAAACACAUUAAUAAUUAUAACAUUAAUCAUUAUAACACAUUUAAGAUCAAAUAAAACAGCAUUACAUGUUAAAAAUCCAAUCCUUCAAGUUCAAGUUAUAUACCUAGUUUGGAUAGUCCUAGGGCUAUAGACCAUUUUAAAAUAACAGUUUUUGUUUUGGAUUUUAUAUUCAAAUUUGUUCUGUUCCUAAUAUUUCAUAUUAGCAAAUUUCCUCUAUUGUCUCUUUGUUACUGUAUAUUUAGGUAUAUAUUUUUUUGUUUGAUUUCAUGCAAGAGUCUCCAAAUUUUGCGGCAAUAAAAAAUGACCCUGUAUAUAUAUAUGUGUAAUACUUAAGUAUGUACAAAAUAUAUUUUUGAUCUGUAAACUUAA